rnacentral:rRNA from 1 species
AGGGAUCAUUACUGAGUUACCGCUCUAUAACCCUUUGUGAACAUACCUAACCGUUGCUUCGGCGGGCAGGGGAAGCCUCUCGCGGGCCUCCCCUCCCGGCGCCGGCCCCCACCACGGGGACGGGGCGCCCGCCGGAGGAAACCAAACUCUAUUUACACGACGUCUCUUCUGAGUGGCACAAGCAAAUAAUUAAAACUUUUAACAACGGAUCUCUUGGUUCUGGCAUCGAUGAAGAACGCAGCGAAAUGCGAUAAGUAAUGUGAAUUGCAGAAUUCAGUGAAUCAUCGAAUCUUUGAACGCACAUUGCGCUCGCCAGCAUUCUGGCGAGCAUGCCUGUUCGAGCGUCAUUUCAACCCUCAAGCACCGCUUGGUUUUGGGGCCCCACGGCACACGUGGGCCCUUAAAGGUAGUGGCGGACCCUCCCGGAGCCUCCUUUGCGUAGUAACUAACGUCUCGCACUGGGAUCCGGAGGGACUCUUGCCGUAAAACCCCCAAAUUUUUUACAGGUUGACCUCGGAUCAGGUAGGAAUACCCGCUGAACUUAA